rnacentral:rRNA from 1 species
UACAGAGGUCCCGAGCGUUGUUCGGAUUCACUGGGCGUAAAGGGUGCGUAGGUGGUGAGGUAAGUUUGAUGUGAAAUCUCCGGGCUCAACCCGGAAAUGGCAUUGAAUACUAUCUUGCUAGAGGAGUGGAGGGGGGACUGGAAUACUUGGUGUAGCAGUGAAAUGCGUAGAUAUUCGCAAGAACACCAGUGGCGAAGGCGGCUCACUGGACCGGAACUGACGCUGAGGCGCGAAAGCGUGGGGAGCAAACAGG